UACGGGGGGGGGCAAGCGUUUGUUCGGAAUUACUGGGCGUAAAGGGCUCGUAGGCGGCCAACUAAGUCGGAUGUGAAAUCCCCAGGCUUAACCUGGGAACUGCAUCCGAUACUGGAUGGCUUGAAUUCGGGAGAGGGAUGCAGAAUUCCAGGUGUAGCGGUGAAAUGCGUAGAUAUCUGGAGGAAUACCGGUGGCGAAGGCGGCAUCCUGGACCGACAUUGACGCUGAGGAGCGAAAGCUAGGGGAGCAAACGGG
rnacentral:rRNA from 1 species